UCUCCGUAGGUGAACCUGCGGAGGGAUCAUUACCGAGUGAGGGCUCACGCCCGACCUCCAACCCUUUGUGAACACAUCUUGUUGCUUCGGGGGCGACCCUGCCGGCACUCUGUCGCCGGGCGCCCCCGAAGGUCUCCAAACACUGCAUCUUUGCGUCGGUGUUUAAAACAAAUUAAACAAUACUUACAACGACGGAUCUCUUGGUUCUGGCAUAGAUGAAGAACGCAGC
rnacentral:misc_RNA from 1 species